UACGAAGGGUGCAAGCGUUACUCGGAAUUACUGGGCGUAAAGCGUGCGUAGGUGGUUCGUUAAGUCUGAUGUGAAAGCCCUGGGCUCAACCCUGGGAUCGCACUGGAUACUGGCGGACUGGAGUGUGGUAGAGGCAAGCGGAAUUCCCAGUGUAGCGGUGAAAUGCGUAGAUAUUGGGAAGAACACCGGUGGCGCAAGCGGCUUGCUGGGCCAUAACUGACACUGAGGAACGAAAGCUAGGGGAGCGAAUGGG
rnacentral:rRNA from 1 species